ACACUGAUGACGAGUCCCAAACAGGAUGAAGCAGCUGUCCAGUGC
rfam:Echinostoma caproni strain Egypt genome assembly, scaffold: ECPE_scaffold0011978